UACGAAGGGGGCUAGCGUUGUUCGGAAUUACUGGGCGUAAAGGGCGCGCAGGCGGCCUAUCAAGUCAGAUGUGAAAGCCCCGGGCUCAACCUGGGAACUGCAUUUGAGACUGAUAGGCUUGAGUUCGGGAGAGGAGAGCGGAAUUCCCAGUGUAGAGGUGAAAUUCGUAGAUAGUUGGGAAGAACACCGGUGGCGAGGCGGCUCUCUGGACCGAUACUGACGCUGAGGCGCGAAAGCGUGGGGAGCAAACAGG
rnacentral:rRNA from 1 species